GCGGAUCGAAGCUUAUUGGCAGCACAGUGAAGCGAUACCUGCGUACCAACUAUUGACUGUUUUUUGGGAUGCCAAAUGUGUCGUUAUUCAAAUUCAUCGUAGCUGUGCAGGCUAACCUACGCUACCAAUCUGAUACAAUUUUUGUGGAUUAUCACUCGGUAGUGGAGCUUAUAUGCGACAUGUUGACGCCGCAAGCACAAUUGCCAUCGAACGUAUCACCGGCAUCUCUUACAGCUACUGCACUCAAAUAUCCAAACAUACCGACAUUUCACUGGCGAGUUCCUGCACAGGAUGACAACAUUGGUGGCCUACUCCGAGACGAAGCGCGCACAUUGCUACUUGAGCGCAAAAACGAGGAAAUUCCGGAUGCAGAAAGCGUUGAGGAAAUGUGGCGCUUACUUGAAGAUCACGCGGUGGACGAAAACCUUGCUAUUGACUACAGAGGAUUUAAAAAAGUACGUCAGCUUUUGGGGCCGAUGUACCAGCAGUUUUUUAGUGCUACCGUAUUCUUCAAAUUACUUCAAGAUCAUCCUCUUGGAUACAUGUCUAUAAGAAAUUUCUACAACUAUGUCAAUCGAAGACGAUGGUUAUUGCAGACCCGGGUUGGGUUAGCGCUCUAUGACGCUAACGGACAGGGUUAUCUAAGCGAAGCUGACCUCGAGAACUAUAUUAAUGGACUAAUCCCAACGCUGAACCAGUUAAAGGGACUUGAACCGUCAUUUCACUCCUUCUACUGCUGCACCGCGGUCCGUAAGUUCAUCUUCUUUCUCGAUCCGUAUCGAACAGAUCGGGUGAGAAUUGACGAAAUCAUACUCUCAUCUUUCUUAGACGAUCUACUUGAACUUCGUGAAGAUCUUCCCAGAGCUGCCCUUGAGGCCAACUGGUUCAGCGCGGUAUCAACCAGAAAGGUGUAUAGUCGUUUUAUGGACCUGGACACCGACAAAAAUGGAAUGCUUUCCCGUCAAGAAAUGUAUGAUUACGGGGAAGGUACAUUCACAAAAACCUUCAUUGAUCGAGUGUUUCAAGAAUGCAUUACGUACCAGGGUGAGAUGGACUAUAAAACGUACCUGGAUUUGGUGUUAGCCUUGGAGAAUCGUAGCCAGCCUGCUUCCAUACAUUUCUUCUUUAAAAUAUUUGACAUCGAUCACAAAGGUUAUUUGGACAACUUUACCAUGCGAUUCUUCCUUCGAGCGAUACUUGAAGUGGUAAACGAUCCGAUGCUCAAGGUGGAAGAUAUCCUUGACGAAAUUCACGAUAUCGUGAAACCAGUCGCGGCCGGUCGAAUAACGCUAAAGGAUCUUUUGAAAUGUGGCCAAGGUGGUCUUGUCGUUUCGAUGAUGGCUGAUGUUAACGGGUUCAUGCGUUAUGACGAUCGACAAUUCGAGCCUGAUGACCAAGAAAGGCCAGAUAUAUCAGAGCCACAGGCUUUGCAUUUCGAGUGUCGGGAUGAUGCCAAUUCAACUAAAAGGCGUGAAAUCAUAAUUACAGAAGUUACAGAAGAAGAUCGAAAUAACGGUGGAGAUCCUACGUCAGUUGACGGCAGUGAGCAACCCAAAAGUAUUUGAUAGAUAACUAAAGGCGUUUCGAGCUUGUGACACUAAUGGCACUCCUAUUGGUCAGAUUAAGUAAGCAAACACUUUUUUGUGUAUAACAAUGUAAAUAUUCAUAGGUAAACGCGGAUCUUAGACCUUUUGUGAAAUUCUGAACUUUUCAUUCCUUUAUAUGCCGUAUACGGAUUUCUUAUUAGAUUUGGUGAAUUAAAUAAUCUGAAUAUACUCAUAAGUCAUGGUUUGGUACUUUCAUCUUCAUGAACAGCAUAUUUACGCAGCACUUGAGCGCUGUCUUGAAACUGUCUCGGAGAUCUGAUAAUUCGUGAACUCAACUUCAAAAUUCAAAAAGGCUCCACAUUUGGAAUUACAUUAGUGCUAUUCUAUCCGAUACGGUCAAAGGAUCGCCUGAAGUAGUUUUAGAUUUUUAAGAUAGGAUUUUUUGCUUAGGAUACAUAUUAGAUAAUAAUUUUUUGCCCUUAAGAUAUGGAUUAGUAGUGCUAGUAAAUUGGAUUGAAACAAUGUUAAUGUGUAGUAGUGUUAAUUUAACAACUUAGAAUAUUCCGAAAGUUCACUGAGAUAAAUGGGCCUAGUUCAGCAAUUGUAAAGUAAAAAUUAUAACCCCAGUAGUGAGCCAUUUUGUGUUACUCCAACCACCUGACAUACGAGUCCUUUUUUCCGAAAACAGAAGAAUACUAAGAUUUAAGUCGCAUGGAAACUUAAACAUUAAGCUUAUCCGGACUUCAGCUCAACUUAUUAAAGGACAUGUAGGGAUCAUAAAUGGAGCAAUACCAAUGAAUUCAAACUUCACAAAACGACUAGCAAGCCAACUUUUAGUUUAAAGCACUAAAACGAAGUCACUAUAAUUUGUUUGCCUUCACUUUCAUUUUGCGCAUCACCAUGAGAAAAAUCAGUGAAUGACUCACAUCACACAGGUUUGCCAAGCUUGAUAUUUGCAAUAUUUUACAUUUUAUAAAAGAUACCAUCAAGAAAAUUAUCGUAACAACAACUUUCGUACCUUAUUUGAUUUUUUCCUAUAUACAUUUGAAACCACAGAAUGACCCCACCAGAAAUUAUUUCCAACUUUUCAAGUUUUUCCUUGUGCAGUAGCCAUUAGACAAGCAAAUGAGGCUAACAUACAUAUUAAUCUGUUACUUAAACGAUACGAAUCAGUAUUAUGAUAUUGUUAAUUAAUACUAAAAAAUGAUUUGGGUUUUUCCGGUUAUCCUUGAGCACAAGCGACGUAAAAAUUAACCAUCGCCGCCGUAAUAACACCGUUGAUUUUGUAUAAAUUGGAUUGCUCAAAUAAAGCAAAUAUGUUCUGAGCACCAAGAACUUUAUGUCAAGCGCAAUUAAAAGAACACGCGAGUUUAUUACUAUAUACAUACAAAACUUUUAUUCAUUAUCUUAUUCAUUAUCUUUUAUUUUCUAUUCUUAUGAGAAAAGUUACCAAAACCACGGAGUGAUUGGGUAGAGGAAGUAAUCACGAAUAGAAUUAUUUAGUACUAAUAGUAAUGAUGGCGUAAGAUCAGUCUCACGAGUCUAACUGUGGCGUUGCUGUCUUUAACGAAGCAAAUCUGAAAUUACCUAAACUUUCCCUUUCUUCUGGUAUGACCCUGGCAAUGUGUCUCAAACAUUUGCACCCGUACUGUACGUGCACACACCAAUAUGUUUUGCGGGCCGAGAUGUAUUCUCUUCAUGCAUCAAACGUGAUAAACAGACUACCAAAAACCUAAGAUCAUGUGGCUCUGUAAGCUCAUCCCGUUUCGUCGACAUUUCUUACACACAGGCAUUGUGAACAGCGGCAAAGGCAGGUAGUUUUUAUCUUAAUUUAUUAAGUGUAAUAAUAACUAAUUGUAAUAAAUCAAGGAAUUAAGCUCUACAAACAGAUUUAUACUAUACAAUGUUUCUCCUAACUUUUGGGGCAUCCGCCGGGUAACGCAUUUUAUCUUAAAGCGGUCCCCACAUACACAGCUGUGCCAUUAAUUCACUUAGUUUUUUCAGUUGUUAAUUUGGCAUUUCCCUGACUCGCUACUUGUGUGUUAUUAUUACAGUUCACGUUUCUUGGGAGUUAAGGUAUCUCAGCUGUCAACACAUUCAGGCAAUCAUUAAUCAGAUACGUCUUCGGUGGCUCCCGAAUGCAGCUGAGCAAGGAGUUCUCUACGUCGGUCUUCCAAUUCUCGCUCUGACAGCAUGGCCUCGUCUGCUUCUCUGAAAAAAGGACAAAAGUAGACGUAAACGGUAAUCCUAUUACCUGUGUGUAACUUCACCUUCCUCCGGAGUGGCCUCACGGUAAUGCCUAUAUUUCUCCGAAGCUUUAUAGCCGCUUUCACUUUCGUCCUCUACGGGGGAAAAUCGCUUCGAUGGUGAAGGGCUUGCUUCCAAGUAUCGACUAUACAUGUCGAGCAAUUUGGCGAGGAUCAAAAAUAACGCAACGAAAACGAAGAAACGUUAGUACCUUUUUAAGCAAACCUAACUUUUAGUAACGGAGCAUUAGUUCCAUUUUAGGCAGCAUUAUUUAAUGGAAAUACUUCAAUAUUGAACUAUUUACUUUAAGUGUAACGCGUAGUUUUUGUUUUUAUGAAGAAGUGUAACGCGUAGCUUAUGCACGAUGAAUAUCUAUUACUGCUAAGUUACUGAUGAAAAAGUCGCUACUCUAUGCGUGCAUAAAUAUUUAAGGCUUAGUAACAACGUCAGAAAUUGCAUGAAGAGUAACUAGCUGAAUAUCUUUACCACAGUAACGUCGUUCUGCUUUCUCCGCAGAAUCCUGAUGUGGAUCUAUACGGCCAGCCGAUUAGUUUUCUAAAUAUACGACUAAAGGGUGUGUAUAAACACAGACUUUCACUGCCUAGGUCCGUAUCUUUUUUAGUACUAGAUCUCUUAAAGUUCCCAAGUUCAGGACACUGCUCUUUGCUCCCAACUAUGAAUUACGAGUUUACAUUUAACACCAACUUACUAACACAUAGGCGAAUAACGCGUACUGCUGGAAAUUCUAUCUAUGGCAGCAAAAAACAAAAAUACAGAGCCCUUUAAAGGCAGUAUCGAGGUGACCGCACAAUUUUUGAACUGUGUGGUGAUCUUUAAACAUAUACGGAAGCGACUGGACGCUGCACGAAUCAUGCCUGUGCAUAUUAAAUAUUUGCAGCUCACUCAAAACCGUGCGAACAAGCAAAACAGUGUGCCUAUUUUUCCACACGUGCCCAUUAAAUUGAACCGGAGAAAUAUUUUAAUGCACGUAAUGUUUUUUAUUAAUAAGUAACGACAAAAGAAGGAAAUGUCAGGGAAAGGGGAUGAGAGAGACACGGUAGAAAUUCAUUUUUGUAUAUUACAUAGUAAGAAACCCCUAUUCGGUAAUUUCGAUAGAUAUUUAUGCAUAUGUGUAUAUAUUAUAUGCAUAUGUUUAUGCAUAUGUGUAUAUAUAAUAUGCAUAUGUGUAUAUAUAAAAAUGAGAUACUGGCGCAUCGACAGCACCUU